rnacentral:rRNA from 1 species
UACCGAGGGGGCAAGCGUUGUUCGGAAUUACUGGGCGUAAAGGGCGCGUAGGCGGCCUUCUAAGUCGAACGUGAAAUCCCCGGGCUCAACCCGGGAACUGCGUCCGAUACUGGAAGGCUUGAAUCCGGGAGAGGGAUGCGGAAUUCCAGGUGUAGCGGUGAAAUGCGUAGAUAUCUGGAGGAACACCGGUGGCGAAGGCGGCAUCCUGGACCGGCAUUGACGCUGAGGCGCGAAAGCCAGGGGAGCAAACGGG